UGGAGAGUUUGAUCCUGGCUCAGGAUGAACGCUGGCGGCGUGCUUAACACAUGCAAGUCGAACGAUGAAGCCCGGUGCUUGCACCGGGUGGAUUAGUGGCGAACGGGUGAGUAUCACGUGAGUAACCUGCCCUUGACUCUGGGAUAAGCCUGGGAAACUGGGUCUAAUACCGGAUACGACCACAGGAUGCAUGUUUUGUGGUGGAAAGCUUUUGCGGUUUGGGAUGGGCCCGCGGCCUAUCAGCUUGUUGGUGGGGUAAUGGCCUACCAAGGCGACGACGGGUAGCCGGCCUGAGAGGGCGACCGGCCACACUGGGACUGAGACACGGCCCAGACUCCUACGGGAGGCAGCAGUGGGGAAUAUUGCGCAAUGGGCGGAAGCCUGACGCAGCGACGCCGCGUGGGGGAUGACGGCCUUCGGGUUGUAAACCUCUUUUACCACUCACGCAGGCUCCGGGUUCUCCCGGGGUGGACGGUAGGUGGGGAAUAAGGACCGGCUAACUACGUGCCAGCAGCCGCGAUAAUACGUAGGGUCCGAGCGUUGUCCGGA
rnacentral:rRNA from 1 species